rnacentral:rRNA from 1 species
AGUGAACGCUGGCGGUAGGCCUAACACAUGCAAGUCGAACGGCAGCACAGUAAGAGCUUGCUCUUACGGGUGGCGAGUGGCGGACGGGUGAGGAAUACAUCGGAAUCUACUUUUUCGUGGGGGAUAACGUAGGGAAACUUACGCUAAUACCGCAUACGACCUACGGGUGAAAGCAGGGGAUCUUCGGACCUUGCGCGAUUGAAUGAGCCGAUGUCGGAUUAGCUAGUUGGCGGGGUAAAGGCCCACCAAGGCGACGAUCCGUAGCUGGCCUGAGAGGAGGAUCGGCCACACUGGAACGGGGACACGGUCCAGACUCCUACGGGAGGCAGCAGUGGGGAAUAUUGGACAAGGGGGGCAAGCCUGAUCCAGCCAGACCGCGUGGGUGAAGAAGGCCUUCGGGUUGUAAAGCCCUUUUGUUGGGAAAGAAAAGCAGCAGGUUAAUACCCCGCUGUUCUGACGGUACCCAAAGAAUAAGCACCGGCUAACUUCGUG